GACAGAGGAUGCAAGCGUUAUCCGGAAUGAUUGGGCGUAAAGCGUCUGUAGGUGGCUUUUAAGUCCGCCGUCAAAUCCCAGGGCUCAACCCUGGACAGGCGGUGGAAACUACCAAGCUGGAGUACGGUAGGGGCAGAGGGAAUUUCCGGUGGAGCGGUGAAAUGCGUAGAGAUCGGAAAGAACACCAACGGCGAAGACUCUGCUGGGCCGACACUGACACUGAGAGACGAAAGCUAGGGGAGCGAAUGGG
rnacentral:rRNA from 1 species